UGCUCUUGUGAGACCUCACCUGGAGUAUUGUGUGCAGUUCUGGUGUCCUCAACAUAAAAAGGACAUGGAACUUUUGGAACAAGUCCAGAGAAGGGCCAUGAGGAUGAUCAGGGGACUGGAGCACCUCCCGUAUGAAGACAGGAUGAGGAAGUUGGGGCUGUUCAGCCUGGAGAAGAGAAGGCUGCUUGGAGACCUCAUAGCAGCCUUCCAGUAUCUGAAGGGGGCCUAUAGGGAUGCUGGGAAGGGACUCUUCAUUAGGGACUGUAGUGAUAGGGCAAGGGGUAACGGGUUCAAACUUAAACAGGGGAAGUUUAGGUUGGAUAUAAGGAAGAAGAAGUUCUUUACUGUAAGGGUGGUGAGGCACUGGGAUGGGUUGCCCAGGGAAGUUGUGAAUGCUCCAUCCCUGGCGGUGUUCAAGGCUGGGUUGGACAGAUCCUUGGGUGGCAUGGUUUAGUGUGAGGUGUCCCUGCCCAUGGCAGGGGGGUUGGAACUAGAUGGUCUUAAGAUCCUUUCCAACCCUAACUAU